AUACUUAAUAACAUCUUACAAAACACUACUCAACAAAACACUUAAACAUAAACCUUACUACUAGCAAACAAAACAAAAGUACUUAAAGGGAAUAAUUAAAUAACUUAAAGUAGUGAGCAAUUCAUGUACCUUGUGCAUUAUGGUUUUACAAGCUGCUAAUUAAAAUUCUACUCCCGAAUUCUAAGCGAGCUGCCCUCACAUAGCUAAAGAGCCCACUUCUAGUUGUGGCACCAACUUAAGAAAAUGUGAUUGCAGAGGCUACAUACCACACGCGCUGGAAAAUUGCUGGUUCUCAAUAAAAUUUAUUAAUUAAAACAUGUAAUAUUAUUACAGUGUAAGAUUUCAGAGGACAAGCCCUGUAAUCUAAAGCUAUAAGAGGUAACCUAUUCAUAACAUAGGCUUAAAAACAGCCAAUAACAAUACCUUAUCGUAUCUACCACACCUAAUAAAUAAACUACCCUGCCCAAUAAAAUUGAGAUUUAAGUGAAACCCCAACGCUUAAAAAAUUAUGUAAAAAUAAGUAUUAAUAUUCAUAGUAAAUAAUUUAAAAUUCAAACACUUAUGAAGGAACUCGGCAAUCUUAUUGCUUCUUGUAAAAUUAUAAGAAGUAAUUCCUGCCCAGUGACUUACGUUUAACGGCCGCGGUAUCCUAACCGUGCAAAGGUAGCAUAAUCACUUGCCCAUUAAUUGUGGGCUAGAAUGAAAGGACUAACGAAAUAAAGACUGUCUCUAUAAGCCCUAUAAAAAUUAAUCUCUAACUGAAGAGUGUUAGAUAUAUUCGAAGGACAAGAAGACCCUAUAGAGCUUUAUUUUAAUAAAUACCAAAAUUUUACUAAAAUUCGGUUGGGGCGACCUGGGAAGCAAUUAAUCAUCCCAUAACAAUAGAUAAAUAAAUCUUAUACCUGAUCCUUAACAAAGAUCAUCAGAACAAGCUACCCUAGGGAUAACAGGCUAAUCCCUCUAAAGAGUCCUUAUCAAUAGUGGGGGUUGGCACCUCGAUGUUGGCUUAGGAAAUCUAUAGGGCGCAAAAGUCUUAUAAAGAUGGUUUGUUCAGCCAAUAAUAUCCUACAUGAGCUGAGUUCAGACCGGCGCAAGCCAGGUUAGUUUCUAUCCUCGAUAAAAAACACCUAUUUAUAGUACGAAAGGACCUAAAUAAGGAUAAUAAUUAUACUUAGAGAAUACACAUAAUGUAAAUUUUAAUACGCAACACAC
rnacentral:rRNA from 1 species